CCUACGGGUGGCAGCAGUGGGGAAUAUUGGGCAAUGGAGGAAACUCUGACCCAGCAACGCCGCGUGAAUGAUGAAGGUCUUCGGAUUGUAAAGUUCUUUUCUAAGGGAAGAAGAAAGUGACGGUACCUUAGGAAUAAGCCUCGGCUAACUACGUGCCAGCAGCCGCGGUAAUACGUAGGAGGCAAGCGUUAUCCGGAAUGACUGGGCGUAAGGGGUGCGGAGUUGGUUUGACAAGUUGGUAGCGUAACUCCGGGGAUCAACCUCGGCACUACUACCAAAACUGUUGGAGUUGAGUGCAGGAGGGGCAAAUGGAAUUACUAGUGUAGCGGUGGAAUGCGUAGAGAUUAGGAGGAACACCAGUGGCGAAGGCGAUUGGCUGGACUGUAACUGACACUGAGGCACGAAAGCGUGUGGAGCAAACAGGAUUAGAUACCCGAGUAGUC
rnacentral:rRNA from 1 species